GCAUCCGUAGCCGGUUCUGCAAAUACCCUGUGAAAUCGUCCCGCUCAACGGGGCGGCGUGCAGGGUAGACUACAGGACUAGGGACCAGGUGAGGUGGACGGUAUUCCGUGGGGAGCGGUAAAAUGUGAUAAUCCUCGGAGGACCACCAAUGGCGAAGACAGUUCACCAAAAUGGAUCCGACGGUGAGGGAUGAAAGCUAGGGGAGCGAUCCGGAUUAGAUACCCGAGUAGUCCUAGCUGUAAACUCUGCGUGCCAGAUGUUGCGUAAUCUCCGAGAUUGCGCAGUGUCGAAAUGAAGAUGUUAAGCACACCACCUGGGGAGUACGGUCGCAAGGCUGAAACUUAAAGGAAUUGGCGGGGGAGCACCACAACGGGUGCGGCGUGCGGUUUAAUCGAAUUCAACACCGAGAAUCUCACCAGAGGCGACGGCACUAUGACGCUCAGUCCGAAGGGCUUAGCCGAGGAGCCGAGAGGUGGUGCAUGGCCGCCGUCAGCUCGUGCCGUGAGGUGUCCUGUUAAGUCAGGCAACGAGCGAGACCUGUAUCCAUCGUUGCUAACACGUUCGCAAGAAUGAG
rnacentral:rRNA from 1 species